UUUUUUAAUUGAAAACUUGUAUGAAAGGUUGAACGAGGUAAUUACUGUUUCAAAAAAAAAUUAAUUGAAAUUUACUUUUUAAUUAAAAGGUUAAAAUAGUUUUAAAGGACGAGAAGACCCUAUAGAUCUUUAUAAUUUUAAUUUAAAAAUUUAUUUAUAAAAAAAUUAAAAUAAUUUUUUAAAUUAAAAAUUAUUUUAUUGGGGUGAUAAAAAAAUUUAAUAAACUUUUUAAAAAUUUUUCAUUAAUUUAUGUAUUUGUGAUCUAAUUUUAUUGAUUAAAAAAAUAAGUUACCUUAGGGAUAACAGCAUAAUUUUUUUGAAAGAUCAUGUGUAAUG
rnacentral:rRNA from 1 species